AUAACUGUGUGUGUGUCCAGGUUAAAUAUAUAUAACUGUGUGUGUCCCCAGGUUAAAUAUAUAUAACUGUGUGUCCCCAGGUUAAAUAUAUAUAACUGUGUGUCCCCAGGUUAAAUAUAUAUAACUGUGUGUGUCCAGGUUAAAUAUAUAUAACUGUGUGUGUCCCCAGGUUAAAUAUAUAUAACUGUGUGUGUCCUCAGGUUAAAUAUAUAUAACUGUGUGUGUCCAGGUUAAAUAUAUAUAACUGUGUGUGUCCCCAGGUUAAAUAUAUAUAACUGUGUGUGUCCAGGUUAAAUAUAUAUAACUGUGUGUCCCCAGGUUAAAUAUAUAUAACUGUGUGUGUCCCCAGGUUAAAUAUAUAUAACUGUGUGUGUCCCCAGGUUAAAUAUAUAUAACUGUGUGUGUCCAGGUUAAAUAUAUAUAACUGUGUGUGUGUCCAGGUUAAAUAUAUAUAACUGUGUGUGUCCAGGUUAAAUAUAUAUAACUGUGUGUGUGUCCAGGUUAAAUAUAUAUAACUGUGUGUGUCCAGGUUAAAUAUAUAUAACUGUGUGUGUGUCCAGGUUAAA